AUGGCCGACACGGGUCAUAGUGUACUAUCUGUUCUGAUCAGCUUAACGUCUGAUCCGGGUUGUAUUCGCACCCAAGAUAUUAAGCUUAGUCUUGCCAGUUGGCGGAGUUUUUGAAGCCUGCUUCACCUCAACCGUGGGUCCCGUUCAGUUCACUUCAGUUUAUUACCUCAAAAGUCCAGUACAU